AGUGAACGCUGGCGGUAGACCUAACACAUGCAAGUCGAACGGCAGCACAGUAAGAGCUUGCUCUUACGGGUGGCGAGUGGCGGACGGGUGAGGAAUACAUCGGAAUCUACUUUUUCGUGGGAGAUAACGUAGGGAAACUUACGCUAAUACCGCAUACGACCUACGGGUGAAAGCAGGGGAUCUUCGGACCUUGCGCGAUUGAAUGAGCCGAUGUCGGAUUAGCUAGUUGGCGGGGUAAAGGCCCACCAAGGCGACGAUCCGUAGCUGGUCUGAGAGGAUGAUCAGCCACACUGGAACUGAGACACGGUCCAGACUCCUACGGGAGGCAGCAGUGGGGAAUAUUGGACAAUGGGCGCAAGCCUGAUCCAGCCAUACCGCGUGGGUGAAGAAGGCCUUCGGGUUGUAAAGCCCUUUUGUUGGGAAAGAAAAGCAGCAGGUUAAUACCCCGCUGUUCUGACGGUACCCAAAGAAUAAGCACCGGCUAACUUCGUG
rnacentral:rRNA from 1 species